GGAAAGGGCAGGAGCCGGACCAAGGUGAGGACAGUGGAACUGAAGGCCGCUGGUUACCUCUCCUGCCCUCCGCUGGCCACAGUGGAGAAGACAGCCCCUCCCUCCUGCUCUGACCUGACAGUGUUCAUCCAUCGCCCUGUAUUAGCGAAGAACAACAUCAAGCUGGCUAGCAAGGAACUGUAUACAGGGUCCAGCUGGGUAUCACACUGGAUCUCACCCAAAGCUUAGAUGUGAUCCAGCUCAGUAUCACAAAGCAGAACGAAAAGGAUGUGUUUGGGCUGAGAGGCCAUACAUUGGCUCCGGCAUGACGGGUGACUUCUUCCGAGUCUGGCUUCUGCAGCACACAGGGCUUCGCCAGCACCCAGCUCCUGCAGCAUGGGCAGCUCCUGUGACAGCAGGCGCCCGCAGCCUGCAAAGCGUCUCCAGUGCCGCCGCCUCAGUGAACCUCAACCAGCGGCACCUAGCAGCUUUCUCUGCCACCCUCUUCAGGUAGUUCUGUAGCAGCGCGUUUCUCAUGAGACACUUCCCUGUGAGCAGCUUUUUCUACCCUUGAGGAUGGAUUUCCAGCAAAUUCUGCCCAUGUGGUACCACAGCCACUUCUCUGCCAUUCAGUGAAACUGCCGUUGUGCCCUCUUCAAGGUCUGGAUCUAAGCCCAGGGACCAGGAAACCUCUUGCUUGAGUGCUGGAACUCAGGCCAGAAGGUAUGGCUGCUGCUAUGUGCUGUGACCAGAGAAUCAGAGUUCUCUUUACUUCUUACCAGCCAACCUCUUGAAAAUGCCUUUUUGUUUUUUGUUUUUUUUUGAGACGGAGUCUCGCUCUGUUGCCCAGGCAGUGCAGUGGCUCACUGCAACCUCCGCCUCCUGAGUUCAAGUGAUUCUCCUGCCUCAGCCUCACAAGUAGGUGGGAUUACAGGCAUGUGCCACCACGCCCAGCUAAUUUUGUAUUUUUAGUAGUGACGGGGUUUCUCCAUGUUGGUCAGGUUGGUCUCAAACUCUCGACCUCAGGUGAUCCACCUGUCUCAGCCUCCCAAAGUGCUGGGAUUACAGACGUUAGCCAGAGCGCCCAGUCUAAGCCCUUUAUAGCUUAAUUCUAUAUAUUAAAUUUUCCCAGUUCAAA
rnacentral:lncRNA from 1 species